rnacentral:rRNA from 1 species
AAUGAACGCUGGCGGCAGGCCUAACACAUGCAAGUCGAACGAGGCAGCAAUGCCUAGUGGCGGACGGGUGAGUAACGCGUGGGAACGUGCCCCUUGGUACGGAAUAGCCCUGGGAAACUGGGAGUAAUACCGUAUGUGGUCGAGAGACGAGAGAUUUAUCGCCAAGGGAUCGGCCCGCGUUGGAUUAGGUAGUUGGUGGGGUAAUGGCCUACCAAGCCGACGAUCCAUAGCUGGUUUGAGAGGAUGAUCAGCCACACUGGGACUGAGACACGGCCCAGAGUCCUACGGGAGGAAGCAGUGGGGAAUCUUAGACAAUGGGGGAAACCCUGAUCUAGCCAUGCCGCGUGAUCGAUGAAGGCCUUAGGGUUGUAAAGAUCUUUCAGUGGGGAAGAUAAUGACGGUACCCACAGAAGAAGCCCCGGCUAACUCCGUGCCAGCCGCCGCCGUAA